rnacentral:rRNA from 1 species
AUACGGAGGAUCCGAGCGUUAUCCGGAUUUAUUGGGUUUAAAGGGUGCGCAGGCGGCCAUUUAAGUCAGCGGUUAAAUCGUGGGGCUCAACCCCAUUCUGCCGUUGAUACUGGGUGGCUUGAUUGCGGUCGAGGUUGGCGGAAUUCGUUGUGUAGCGGUGAAAUGCAUAGAUAUGACGAAGAACACCGAUUGCGUAGGCAGCUGACCAGACCGCAAAUGACGCUCAUGCACGAAAGUGCGGGGAUCGAACAGGAUUAGAUACCCUGGUAGUCCGCACAGUAAACGAUGAAUACUUGUUUUCGGUGAUAUAAUGUCGGAGGCAAAGCGAAAGCGAUAAGUAUUCCACCUGGGGAGUACGCCGGCAACGGUGAAACUCAAAGGAAUUGACGGGG